rnacentral:rRNA from 1 species
CGCGGCCUAUCAGCUUGUUGGUGGGGUGAUGGCCUACCAAGGCGACGACGGGUAGCCGGCCUGAGAGGGUGUCCGGCCACACUGGGACUGAGACACGGCCCAGACUCCUACGGGAGGCAGCAGUGGGGAAUAUUGCACAAUGGGCGGAAGCCUGAUGCAGCGACGCCGCGUGAGGGAUGACGGCCUUCGGGUUGUAAACCUCUUUCACCAAGGACGAAGCGGGAGUGACGGUACUUGGGAAGAAGCACCGGCUAACUACGUGCCAGCAGCCGCGGUAAUACGUAGGGUGCGAGCGUUGUCCGGAAUUAUUGGGCGUAAAGAGCUCGUAGGCGGCUCGUUGCGUCUACCGUGAAAACUGGAGGCUUAACCUUCAGCUUGCGGUGGAUACGGGCGGGCUUGAGUUCGGUAGGGGAGACUGGAAUUCCUGGUGUAGCGGCGAAAUGCGCAGAUAUCAGGAGGAACACCGGUGGCGAAGGCGGGUCUCUGGGCCGAUACUGACGCUGAGGAGCGAAAGCGUGGGGAGCGAACAGGAUUAGAUACCCUGGUAGUCCACGCUGUAAACGUUGGGCGCUAGGUGUGGGUGACAUCCACGUUGUCCGUGCCGUAGCUAACGCAUUCAGCGCCCCGCCUGGGGAGUACGG